rnacentral:tRNA from 1 species
AAAAAAGCCGGAAUAGCUCAGUUGGUAGAGC